GUCUCCUCGGCCGGCGGGGACUCAGCUCAGCGCGCCGCCGCCGCCGGCUCAGCGGAUUUUGUUUUUGCACUGAAUGUAGCCUGGAUUGAUCCUCACGGGCUUCAGGAGCCCAGGGAUACUAUCAAAGGUGGGACAUGAAGAUUUGGUAAUGGAAGGGCAUGGCAAGACUCCGCCUCCUGGUGAAGAAAGCCAACAGCUCAACCCUCAGGGCCAUCUCGUGGGAUGAGGCCUGCUGCUGCUCCAGCGCCAGCCAGCGCUCUCUUCAUUUCCUGGCACGCUGUGUGUGCAGCAGAAACGUACCUCCCGACCCUCCCGGGAAGCCCAGUCUCUUCCGUACAGCGAGAGAGCGCAGUAGCCUAGGAGCAGGUAGGGCUGGGCCGGCUGGCAGCCACGUCCUCUGCCGCUGUCUCGCUUUACCCUUUUUCCCUUUUUCAGC
rnacentral:lncRNA from 1 species